UUUCUAGGGAGAAAAGAAGAAAGAAGAGAAGAAAGAAGAGAAGAAAGAAGGAAGGAGAAUCAGUGAGAACAAGCGAUCAAUAAGUGAUGUUGUUAUGGAUGGACAGUCCGUGGCUGCUGUACUAUCACCAUCUAAAACUAGCUCAUCAUCAAGUCUAUCAACAAAUCGAAGUCAAGAUUCCCCAA